UACGUAGGGUGCAAGCGUUGUCCGGAUUUAUUGGGCGUAAAGAGCUCGUAGGCGGUUAGUCACGUCGGAUGUGAAAACCCGGAGCUUAACUCCGGGCCUGCAUUCGAUACGGGCUGACUAGAGUGUUGUAGGGGAGACUGGAACUCCUGGUGUAGCGGUGAAAUGCGCAGAUAUCAGGAAGAACACCGGUGGCGAAGGCGGGUCUCUGGGCAACUACUGACGCUGAGGAGCGAAAGCGUGGGGAGCGAACAGG
rnacentral:rRNA from 1 species